rnacentral:rRNA from 1 species
CCCUUAGAUGUCCUGGGCCGCACGCGCGCUACACUGACAUGUUCAACAAGCCUCCUAGUUCGACAGGAUUUGGGAAAUCUUUGAACGCAUGUCGUGAUAGGGAUAGAUCAUUGCAAUUAUUGAUCUUGAACGAGGAAUUCCUAGUAAACGCGAGUCAUCAGCUCGCAUUGAUCACGUCCCUGCCCUUUGUACACACCGCCCGUCGCACCUACCGAUUGAAUGUUUCGGUGAAGAUUCCGGAUAGGACUUUUUUGAUUUAUUUCAAUUCUGUCUUAAAAGCUAUCUAAACCUCAACAUUUAGAGGAAGGUGAAGUCGUAACA